CAGUAGCCGCGGUAAUGCGGAAGGUCCAGGCGUUAUCCGGAUUUAUUGGGUUUAAAGGGAGUGUAGGCGGUCUGUUAAGCGUGUUGUGAAAUUUAGGUGCUCAACAUUUAACUUGCAGCGCGAACUGGCGGACUUGAGUGCACGCAACGUAUGCGGAAUUCAUGGUGUAGCGGUGAAAUGCUUAGAUAUCAUGACGAACUCCGAUUGCGAAGGCAGCGUACGGGAGUGUUACUGACGCUUAAGCUCGAAGGUGCGAGUAUCGAACAGGAUUAGAGACCCGCGUAGUCCCUGUCUCUUAUAC
rnacentral:rRNA from 1 species